GGCCAGACUCCUACGGGAGGCAGCAGUGAGGAAUAUUGGUCAAUGGCCGGAAGGCUGAACCAGCCAAGCCGCGUGAGGGAGGAAGGCGCAGAGCGUCGCAGACCUCUUUUGCCGGGGGACAAAAGGCCGGACUCGUCCGGUCCUGAGGGUACCCGGAGAAAAAGCAUCGGCUAACUGCGUGCCAGCAGCCGCGGUAAUACGUAGGGGGCAAGCGUUAUCCGGAUUCACUGGGUGUAAAGGGGGCGUAGACGGCGGCGCAAGUCGGGAGUGAAAGCCCGGGGCCCAACCCCGGGACUGCUCUGGAAACUGCGGCGCUGGAGUACGGGAGGGGCAGGCGGAAUUCCUGGUGUAGCGGUGAAAUGCGUAGAUAUCAGGAGGAACACCGGCGGCGAAGGCGGCCUGCUGGACCGUGACUGACGUUGAGGCUCGAGAGCGUGGGGAGCAAACAGGAUUAGAUACCCCUGUAA
rnacentral:rRNA from 1 species